CAGUAGCCACGGUAAUACGGAGGGUGCAAGCGUUAAUCGGAAUUACUGGGCGUAAAGCGCACGCAGGCGGUCUGACAAGUCAGAUGUGAAAUCCCCGGGCUUAACCUGGGAACUGCAUUUGAAACUGUCAGGCUGGAGUCUUGUAGAGGGGGGUAGAAUUCCAGGUGUAGCGGUGAAAUGCGUAGAGAUCUGGAGGAAUACCGGUGGCGAAGGCGGCCCCCUGGACAAAGACUGACGCUCAGGUGCGAAAGCGUGGGGAGCAAACAGGAUUAGAUACCCCGGUAGUCCCUGUCUCUUACAC
rnacentral:rRNA from 1 species